GAUGAACGCUGGCGGCGUGCCUAAUACAUGCAAGUCGAGCGAACAGACGAGGAGCUUGCUCCUCUGACGUUAGCGGCGGACGGGUGAGUAACACGUGGAUAACCUACCUAUAAUACUGGGAUAACUUCGGGAAACCGGAGCUAAUCCCGGAUAAUAUAUUGAACCGCAUGGUUCAAUAGUGAAAGACGGUUUUGCUGUCACUUAUAGAUGGAUUCGCGCCGCAUUAUCUAGUUGGUAAGGUAACGGCUUACCAAGGCAACGAUGCGUAGCCGACCUGAGAGGGUGAACGGCCACACUGGAACUGAGACACGGUCCAGACUCCUACGGGAGGCAGCAGUAGGGAAUCGUCCGAAAUGGGCGAAAGCCUGACGGAGCAACGCCGCGUGAGUGAUGAAGGGCUUCGGAUCGUAAAACUCUGUUAGUAGGGAAGAACAAAUGUGUAAGUAACGAUGCACGUCUUGACGGUACCGAAUCAGAAAGCCACGGCUAACUACGU
rnacentral:rRNA from 1 species